UGGGGAAUAUUGGACAAUGGGCGAAAGCCUGAUCCAGCCAUGCCGCGUGUGUGAAGAAGGUCUUCGGAUUGUAAAGCACUUUAAGUUGGGAGGAAGGGUUGUAGAUUAAUACUCUGCAAUUUUGACGUUACCGACAGAAUAAGCACCGGCUAACUCUGUGCCAGCAGCCGCGGUAAUACAGAGGGUGCAAGCGUUAAUCGGAAUUACUGGGCGUAAAGCGCGCGUAGGUGGUUUGUUAAGUUGGAUGUGAAAGCCCCGGGCUCAACCUGGGAACUGCAUCCAAAACUGGCAAGCUAGAGUACGGUAGAGGGUGGUGGAAUUUCCUGUGUAGCGGUGAAAUGCGUAGAUAUAGGGAGGAACACCAGUGGCGAAGGCGACCACCUGGACUGAUACUGACACUGAGGUGCGAAAGCGUGGGGAGCAAACA
rnacentral:rRNA from 1 species